rnacentral:rRNA from 1 species
UACUGCUCAGUAACACGUGGAUAACCUGCCCUAAGGAAGGGGAUAACCUCGGGAAACUGAGGAUAAUACCCUAUAGGAUACCGAUGCUGGAAUGCCCGGUAUCCCAAAGCUCCGGCGCCUUAGGAUGGAUCUGCGGCCGAUUAGGUCGUUGUCGGGGUAACGGCCCAACAAGCCGAUAAUCGGUACGGGUUGUGGGAGCAAGAGCCCGGAGUUGGAUUCUGAGACACGAAUCCAGGCCCUACGGGGCGCAGCAGGCGCGAAAACUUUACAAUGCGGGCAACCGUGAUAAGGGAACCUCGAGUGCCUGUACAUGCAGGCUGUCUGGGUGUCUAAAACACACCCAAAGAAAGGGCCGGGCAAGACCGGUGCCAGCCGCCGCGGUAAUACCGGCGGCUCGAGUGGUGGCCACUUUUAUUGGGCUUAAAGCGUUCGUAGCUGGGUUGUUAAGUCUCUUGGGAAAUCUGGCAGCUUAACUGUCAGGCGUCUAAGAGAUACUGGCAAUCUAGGAACCGGGAGAGGUGAGGGGUACUUCGGGGGUAGGAGUGAAAUCCUGUAAUCCUCGAGGGGCCACCUGUGGCGAAGGCGCCUCACCAGAACGGCUUCGACAGUGAGGGACGAAAGCUGGGGGAGCMMYMCCSKUUUAGAUACCCGGGUAGUCCCAGCCGUAAACGAUGCGAGGACCCUUCGAUGACCACGAGUCAUCGAGGUGCCGAAGGGAAACCGUGAAACG